UGGGGUAUAUUGGACAAUGGGCGAAAGCCUGAUCCAGCCAUGCCGCGUGUGUGAAGAAGGUCUUCGGAUUGUAAAGCACUUUAAGUUGGGAGGAAGGGCAGUAAGCGAAUACCUUGCUGUUUUGACGUUACCGACAGAAUAAGCACCGGCUAACUCUGUGCCAGCAGCCGCGGUAAUACAGCGGGUGCAAGCGUUAAUCGGAAUUACUGGGCGUAAAGCGCGCGUAGGCGGUUCGUUAAGUUGAAUGUGAAAGCCCCGGGCUCAACCUGGGAACUGCUUCCAAAACUGGCGAGCUAGAGUAGGGGAGAGGGGGGUGGAAUUUCCUGUGUAGCGGAGAAAUGCGUAGAGAUAGGAAGGAACACCAGUGGCGAAGGCGACCACCUGGGCUCAUACUGACACUGAGGUGCGAAAGCGUGGGGAGCAAACAGG
rnacentral:rRNA from 1 species